GACGAACGCUGGCGGCGUGCCUAAUACAUGCAAGUCGAACGCAUUUUCUUUCACCGUAGCUUGCUACACCGAAAGAAAAUGAGUGGCGAACGGGUGAGUAACACGUGGGUAACCUGCCCAUCAGCGGGGGAUAACACUUGGAAACAGGUGCUAAUACCGCAUAAUUCCAUUUACUGCAUGGUAGAUGGAUGAAAGGCGCUUUUGCGUCACUGAUGGAUGGACCCGCGGUGCAUUAGCUAGUUGGUGGGGUAACGGCCUACCAAGGCUGCGAUGCAUAGCCGACCUGAGAGGGUGAUCGGCCACACUGGGACUGAGACACGGCCCAGACUCCUACAGGAGGCAGCAGUAGGGAAUCUUCGGCAAUGGACGCAAGUCUGACCGAGCAACGCCGCGUGAGUGGAGAAGGUUUUCGGAUCGUAAAACUCUGUUGUUAGAAAAGAACAAGGAUGAGAGUGGAAAGUUCAUCCCUUGACGGUAUCUAACCAGAAAGCCACGGCUAACUACGUG
rnacentral:rRNA from 1 species